AGCAGCCGCGGUAAUUCCAGCUCCAAUAGCGUAUAUUAAAGUUGUUGCAGUUAAAAAGCUCGUAGUUGAAUUUCGGGACCAAUCUGCCGGUCGUGCCUCCGGUACGCACUGGUUUUAUUGGGCUCUCCCUUCUGACGAACCAUGAUGUCAUUAAUUUGGUGUCAUGGGGAAUCAGGACUGUUACUUUGAAAAAAUUAGAGUGUUUAAAGCAGGCUCACGCUUGAAUACAUUUGCAUGGAAUAAUGAAAUAGGACGUUUGACCCUAUUUUGUUGGUUUCUAGGAUCGACGUAAUGAUUAAUAGGGAUAGUUGGGGGCAUUAGUAUUCAAUUGUCAGAGGUGAAAUUCUUGGAUUUAUUGAAGACUAACUACUGCGAAAGCAUUUGCCAAGGAUGUUUUCAUUAAUCAAGAACGAAAGUUAGGGGAUCGAAGACGAUCAGAUACCGUCGUAGUCUUAACCAUAAACUAUGCCGACUAGGGAUCGGAUGAUGUAAUUUUAAUGACUCAUUCGGCGCCUUACGG
rnacentral:rRNA from 1 species